rnacentral:rRNA from 1 species
AGUUUGAUUCAGCUCCAGAUUGAACACUGGCGGGAUGCUUUACAUACAAGUCGAACGGCAGCACGGACUUCGGUCUGGUGGCAGGUAGUACGAGCGGUGAUAAAUACAUGGCAUGAACAUUCGUAGCGGGGAUAACUACGCGGCGUAGCUAAUACCGCAACCGCCCCUUGGAAAACGCAAGAGGACAAGGCCUCGCCACUAUUAAAUGGUAGCAAUCUCGGAUUGUAGCUAGUUGGUGGGGUAACGGCUCACCAAAGGCGACGAUCCGUAGCUGGUUUGAGGAAGGACGACCAGCCACACUGGGACUGGGAACACGGCCCAGACUCCUACGGGAAGCAGUGAGAAUUUUGGACAAUGAAACUGAUCCAGCCAUCCAUGAUCAUCGAUAAAGGCCUUCGGGUUAUAAAACGCACAGCGGAAAAAGACGGCACGGGAUAAUACCCGAUACAGCAAUAAUCACAGAAUAAAGCGCAAGCUAACUACGUGCCAGCAGCCGCGGUAAUACGUAGGGUGCAAGCGUUAAUCAAGGAUGCUGGGCGUAAAGCGAUGCGCGAGCGGUUCGGAAGAAAGAUGUGAAAUCCCAGAGCUUAACUGGAACUGCAUUUUUUAACUACCGAGCUAGAGUGUGUCAGAGGAGGUGGAAUUCACGUGUAGCAGUGAAAUGCGUAGUAUGCCGGAAGACCCUGCAAUGGCGAAAGGCGGCCUCUGGGAUAACGACUGCAGCGCUCAUGCACGAAAGCGUGGGGAGCAAACAGGAUUAAGAUACCCUGGUAGUCCACGCCCUAAACGAUGUCAACUAGCUGUUGGGGCCUUCGGGCCUUGGUGGCCGCAACUAACGCGUGAAGUUGACCGCCUGGAAGUACGGUCGCAAGAUUAAAACUCAAAGAUUGACGGGGACCCGCACAAGCGGUGGAUGAUGUGGAUUAACGGAAUUCGUGCAACGCGAAAACCUUACCUACCCUUGACGUAAUGUCUGGAAUCCCGAAGAGAUUUGGGGUGCUCGCAGAGAACCGGAACACAGGUGCGCACAUGGCUGUCGUCAGCUCGUGUCGUGAGAUGUUGGGUUAAGUCCGCAACGAGCGCAACCCUUGUCGUACGUUGCUACGAAGGGCACUCUAAUGAACGCCGGUGACAAACCGGAAGGUGGGGAUGACGUCAAGUCCUCAUGGCCCUUAUGGGUGGGCUUCACACGUCAUACAAUGGUCGGGACAGAGGGUCGCCAACCCACGAGGAGCCAAUCCCAGAAACUGAUCGUAGUCCGGAUCGCAGUCUGCAGCUCUGACUGCGUAGAAGUCAGAUCUUCAACAAUCGCGGACAUGUCGCGGUGAUCGUUCCCGGGUCUUGUACACACCGCCCGUCACGUAUCAUGGGAGUGGGGUUUACCAGAAAGUAGUUAGCUAACCUGUGGGGCGAUUACCACGGUAGGAUUCAUGACUGGGGUGAAGUCGUAACAAAAGAUAA